AUACGUAGGGGGCGAGCGUUGUCCGGAAUGAUUGGGCGUAAAGGGCGCGUAGGCGGCGCGGUAAGUCUGGAGUGAAAGUCCUGCUUUCAAGGUGGGAAUUGCUUUGGAUACUGCCGCGCUUGAGUGCAGGAGAGGUUAUCGGAAUUCCCGGUGUAGCGGUGAAAUGCGUAAAGAUCGGGAGGAACACCAGUGGCGAAGGCGGGUAACUGGACUGCAACUGACGCUGAGGCGCGAAAGUGUGGGGAGCAAACAGGAUUAGAUACCCUGGUAGUCCACACUGUAAACGAUGAAUGCUAGGUGUAAGAGGUAUCGACCCCUUUUGUGCCGGAGUCAACACAAUAAGCAUUCCGCCUGGGGAGUACGGCCGCAAGGUUGAAACUCAAAGGAAUUGGCGGGG
rnacentral:rRNA from 1 species